UCCCUGUUAGCUCGGUGGUAGAGCGCGUCACUAGUAUGCAGCAGAGCAGAUAUGCGUACAAAGACGAGGUCAGUCGUUCAAGUCGACUGGAGGGAA